rnacentral:lncRNA from 1 species
CUUAAUCACAAGCAUUGCAGCCAAAUUUCUGAUGAUCUAAAACUAUUGAUCAGCAAGGCCGGAGAAGCUCAGGGCUUCACAUAACCCCAGCUGGCUGCAAACUCACUGUGUAGCCCCAUGUGAUGUCCCUGAACUCUUUGAUCCUUUAAGCUCCACCUCCAAAUACUGGGAUUGCAGAACUCACAGAAGGAGCUCAUGGACUGUAGUCUCAUCUCUCAACUCCUCCUAACACUGGUGAAUGCUGCUGUGUGUCUUCACUUGGAAGUCAUUUUGACUAUUUCAAAAGUGGCAUUUGUAAGGACAGAGGACGCUUUGUCAUGUUUCCUCUCGGGUUUCAGGAGUUUGAGGCUGGAGCACUAGGCUGAUUCAGUGAGGU